GGGCCGGUAGUUCAGGCUGGGAGAAUGCCCGCCUUGCACGCGGGAGGUCGGGGGUUCAAGUCCCCACCGGUCCA
rnacentral:tRNA from 1 species